UGUUAGUAUGAUUUACUUAUAAAAUGUUCUACAUGUUUUACACCGUGCCUAAGAUUACAUGUUCUAUAAAAUGUUGAUGUGAAUAAGGCUAUAUAAUUCAGCCGAGAGACAGAAACAAACACACAGUGGAGGUAGACAGAAGCAAGCGGUUAAUUUGAAAAUAAAACAUAAUUUUAUUUGGUCAACAUGAAGUGUGAGAUUGUAAUUACCGUGUUCUUGGUGUUCACAAUGGUUGUACAGAACGAAGCUUUUGUGUCUUUGCAACCCACAACUGUUAAAAGAUCACCUGACGGCACAAUACUAGAGGAAUGGUGUGAUGGACCAACCGGACGACUUGAGAUAGGAGAUGGAAUCAGAAUAGACUGUGUUGACUAUGAAUGCAGAAAAGGACAUAUGUCCAUUACUGGUGUCGGUUACAACGCCUUUGUCUAUUCCUCUCCUGACUGUUAUUUAAAGAAGAAACGUGACUGUUGCUACCAAUUGGUUAAACGUGAUCAUAGAAGCGCCCCAUGUAACAAGGGAGAAAAAGUUCAAUGUCCUCCACCUCCACCAACACAGACGGGCAAAUAAAUAAUCUUCCCGAGUAAUAAAAUGAACUGAAAUCUUUA